rfam:Corchorus olitorius cultivar O-4 contig17582, whole genome shotgun sequence.
ACCAAGGCUUUCUUAAAAGCUACCUUUUGAAUACAAAGAAGGGAUA